rnacentral:tRNA from 1 species
GCCAGUGUGGCUCAGUGGUUAGAGCGUCGGCCCGAGCACCGAAGGGUCGCAGGUUCCAUUCCCGGUCAAGGGCA